rnacentral:rRNA from 1 species
AGUGAACGCUGGCGGCGUGCCUAACACAUGCAAGUCGAACGAUGAUAGGAAGCUUGCUUCCUUGAUUAGUGGCGCACGGGUGAGUAUACCAUAGAUAAUGUACCUCUUAGUUCGGGAUAGCCACUGGAAACGGUGAUUAAUACCGGAUACUCCUUCUUGUCUUAAGGCGAGUCGGGAAAGUUUUUUCGCUAAGAGAUCAGUCUAUGUCCUAUCAGCUAGUUGGUGAGGUAAUGGCUCACCAAGGCUAUGACGGGUAUCUGGUUUGAGAGGAUGAUCAGACACACUGGAACUGAGACACGGUCCAGACUCCUACGGGAGGCAGCAGUAGGGAAUAUUGGUCAAUGGGCGAAAGCCUGAACCAGCCAUCCAGCGUGCAGGAGAAGGCCUAUGGUUGUAAACUGCUUUAUCAGGGAAGAAACCUCUGGAUUUACU